AAGUGUUCCAGCUCUUUUAGAAUUUAUUUAGUGGAUUUUCUGACAUAAGUCAGAGAAUGUCUAA